rnacentral:tRNA from 1 species
GUUAAAGUAGUUUAAUUAAAACACCGAGUUGUGGCCCCGAAAAUACAUUUUUUAUGUCUUUAACC